UAGGAAAGAGCAUGAACUAGCAUGACAAGAGGUGUCACAUGUCAAGGAAGAUUUCAAAGACAGUGCUCACCUUUGACAACACGAUGACCUUAGGGUAAGAAAGGAAGAAAAUGGGGAAGUUGUGCAAUGAAUCAGAGGAAAGGAGAAAUGUGUGUGAAUGUACAUAGCUGUUUGUGUGUGUGUGUCACAAUAGGAAUCUCAUAGAAAUUGGAAAAAAUAUUAUAGAUGUCUGCAUCUCAGUUUGCCCAGGCUGCUGGAAGAGGACACCUUGGCACAAAACCUGCACAUGAAUUCUUGCUUCUUUAGCCAAGGCAACCAGGGUUAAUGGAUACCAAGGUGUAGCUAGAAUUUUAAGGAUGCAAAUAACCUGAAUGAACUCCUUUACUGCAAACACGAGACCGACAUGGACUGAGGACACAAGUAUCUCUGUGAACAAGAACUGCUGGAUGGGACUCUCCAAAGAACUUAGUUGUCUCUCCAGGAGAGAGUCUCCUCUCUGACUGUGUAUUAGAUUUAUCUUACUUCCCCCUGAGGCUAAAGGAUUUGAGAUCAUUAGAGAGAUAGCAGGUAUUGGAGUGGUCACCCACCAGUAUUGUAGCUCAGUCAUCCUGAGGACCGCUAUCAAGAAUGAUUUAUCCAAGAGGUCUGCAGAACAAAUAGACUUUGAUGCCUUGCAGCUGCUCUACAUGUGUUUGUUGACAGCUCUGGCACUUCAGUGAGUAAGUCAGUCCUGAGUUUUAGGCUGUGUCACCCAGACUGAAGAGUUUUGUAUCUCCUUGCUGACAUGGACUGUGUGGAGGUACAGGUACAAGAACCUGUUCUGUGAGGCUGGUUUACAUUUGAUAAUUAUUAUGACUUUCUCUUUUUAACUUGGUCUUCUAGUUUAUGGUGGAGAUAGAGCUGAGGGUCCUCACCGAUGAGUGGAGGAUUGUCUUACCACACCUCAGACUAUGGUCAGACCUCUUUAAAAUUUCUCUCUAUGUAUGUCUAUCAGUCUCAUUCUGUGUGAGUUACUAAGUACCAUCUUUGCAGUACCUCAGCUUUAUUUGACGAUCCAAGUUUCCUGUGACCUUUUGAGGAUAAUGUUUGCAGGUUAAAUGUGCUGAAUAAGGACAAAUGAGAAAUGCAGAAGAAGUGAAAAUGGGUUUUAAAGAAGAUCAUCUUCUGUCA